AACGCACAUUGCGCCCCUUGGUAUUCCGGGGGGCAUGCCUGUUCGAGCGUCAUUACAACCCUCAAGCUCUGCUUGGUAUUGGGCGUCCCCGGCGACGGGGUGCCCUAAAAUCAGUGGCGGUGCCGUCUGGCUCUAAGCGUAGUAAAUCUCUCGCUCUGGAUGCCCGGUGGAUGCUCGCCAGAACCCCCCAUUUUUUACAGGUUGACCUCGGAUCAGGUAGGGAUACCCGCUGAACUUAA
rnacentral:misc_RNA from 1 species